UACGUGGGGCGCAAGCGUUGUCCGGAAUUAUUGGGCGUAAAGAGCUCGUAGGCGGUUUGUCGCGUCUGCUGUGAAAACCUAAGGCUCAACCUUGGGCUUGCAGUGGGUACGGGCAGACUAGAGUGCGGUAGGGGGUGACUGGAAUUCCUGGUGUAGCGGUGGAAUGCGCAGAUAUCAGGAGGAACACCCCGUGGCGAAAGCGGCUCUCUGGG
rnacentral:rRNA from 1 species